UACGGGAGGCAGCAGUGGGGAAUAUUGCACAAUGGGCGCAAGCCUGAUGCAGCCAUGCCGCGUGUAUGAAGAAGGCCUUCGGGUUGUAAAGUACUUUCAGUCGUGAGGAAGGUGUUAAGGUUAAUAACCUUAGCAAUUGACGUUAGCGACAGAAGAAGCACCGGCUAACUCCGUGCCAGCAGCCGCGGUAAUACGGAGGGUGCGAGCGUUAAUCGGAAUUACUGGGCGUAAAGGGCACGCAGGCGGUUAAUUAAGUUGGAUGUGAAAUCCCCGGGCUUAACCUGGGAAUGGCAUUCAAGACUGGUUAGCUAGAGUCUUGUAGAGGGGGUAGAAUUCCAUGUGUAGCGGUGAAAUGCGUAGAGAUGUGGAGGAAUACCGGGUGGCGAAGGCGGCCCCUGGACAAAGACUGACGCUCAUGUGCGAAAGCGUGGGGAGCAAACAGGAUUAGAUACC
rnacentral:rRNA from 1 species